rnacentral:lncRNA from 10 species
GUUCAACCAAGGGGAGAAAGCAGAAGGAAGGGGCUUCCUAGCUUUGCCCCUUUUUGUAUCCUGCUGAAAGCUGUGGCAGGGGUUGAGUGUGAGGAGGCAUGGGGACAUGAAUGAGUUUCCCCUCUGCAGCAUUUGCCUUGAGUGGAGGAUGGGGUAAACUUCCCAGUGUAGCCCAGAAAAAAAUCUAGCUCACAGUGGCUGAAGACUGUUGACUUAACAGCUAUACAGGCACCUGCAGACACAGGUUGUAUGACGGGAGCGCAUCUGUUGAAUGCUGUUGCAGUUAUGUCACAGGCAAAAUAGGACUUACUGGGCUAGUCUGUGCCCUGGUCACUGUGAGUGCAUCAUUUUAGAACAUCAUUAUUUUGGAAAAAAGGAAGGACCACAUUCUAAAUUCCAAACAGCUGACUCAUGAGCGGACUUUUGGAAGCCACCAACCCUUUGUCAUUGAGAGCUGCCUGAUCGCAGGGUCACACAGAGGUGUAUAAAGGCCGGACUUCAGGCAGUCAUGUGAGCAUGCUCACAGAGGCCGAGUCGUGUGGCAAGCCUCGUGGAGAAGUCUGCAGGCUUCUUGCUCCUAAGAAGAUGUGAAUUUGGAGUAGUGAGCUGGAGAAGCAGCUGGCUCUAGAUUUAUCCCCCAAGUGGUGGGAUAAAUGCCCGAGGAAGGAGACCCCAGCACGUUGAAAAAAAAAAUCAUCGUAUUUGAUGAAAAGCAUUCAGAGGCUGGAUUGUAGUAGGGGUAGAGGUACAUAGAAGGAGAAGGGUGCAGGAAAGAUAUUCUUUCCACUGCCAAUGAGAUGAUAAAGGACUAUUCAGCUUUUAAACCUCAGGGGCUGGUGAACAUUUGUUGGCUGAAGGAAGCUCAGUGUUAAAUCUGAAGCUAAACUGAAGAAACUAUGUGGUCUCUUACGACUGGUUGCCACAACAGAUGUUGCCAGGUGUCCUUGGAUAGUGACCUCCCAUAUGAAGCCACUUUCCUCUGAUCAGGCCUGACAGCUUCACACUGUGGAGGGAGCUGAGAACAAUAAUCUUUCAAGGAACAGAAAACCAGACGCCACAUGUUCUCACUUAUAAGUGGGAGCUAAACAAUGAGAACACAUGGACACAGGGGGGGGAACAACACACACUAGGGCCUGUUGGGGGUGUGGGGUCAGGGGAGGGAGAGCAUUGGGAAAACUAGCUAACACAUACUGAGAUUAAUACCUAGGUGAUGGGUUGAUUGGUGCAGCAAACCACCAUGGCACAUGUUUACCUAUGUAACAAACCUUCACAUCCUGCACAUGUACCCCAGAACCUAAAAGUAAAAUUAAAAUAAAAAAAAUCUUGAGCAUUC